rnacentral:lncRNA from 1 species
GCACAAGUUCUUGGUGGCCUCAAUUCACGGUCUCUUCCUGUUGAUCAGCAGUGGGCAGAGACCACCUCCCUCAUUGCCGCUUUGGGUUUGGACCGCUUUAAACAGUAAAGUGACUGUCGACGGCUCAGUCUACAGGGAGGAGAACAAAAGACAGGGUCAGGGCUGGGCAGACUGGACAGGGUAAGAUUCUGGCUCCCCUCACUUGCUAGUUGGAGGAGUGGGGAGGCGAGUUAUUAGUGCCUUUGGGCCCUGACCUUAUAGCCCUUCGUAGGGUGGUGUGCGAAUGUCCAGUGUCCAGUGCUGAAUGCUGAGGGACCCAGUAAGAGGAGGUGGCUAGAACUGGAGGGACAGUUUCCCAGAAGCCUGGGCUUUGGGAUAGCAGAGCAGCAUAAGCCAGGCUCUAUGGAAUGUUGGGUGAGCUGCUUGAGGAACUCCAAGGCCUGUCCCACAGUCUUCCAGCCUCCGACUCUCCGGCCCUCAGCGAGGUCAGCAGUGAGCUACUUUUGGAUCUGUUGGGAUCCCUGAGCCCGUGGUCCAGGGAGACUCUGAACAGGGAGAUCUGAAGUCCCACUGGUUUUUUUGGUUGGUUUUUUUUUUUUUUUUUAAGGUUUUUUGGUUUUUUUUUUUUUUUCUCAUUCCUGUCUUGGGAGCUUUCCCCAACCAGCAGACUGAUCGAACACACAGGCUUCUCAGCCCACUCCCUCCAGUCAAGGUUAAGGCCUGGCAAAGGUGGAGGAAGAGAAGCUGAGGAGAAAAAGGCGAGGAGAGCCUAGGCACAGGAAGGUGACCGUGAGUAGAGUUGGGUGGUCCAGGGAUGUGGCUGGGAUCCCCUCUUCCUUCUGGAGUUCUCUUAGACAGUAAGGCUGAAGAGAAGCUUGGUACAGGAACUUCGAAGGUUUCUCAAGCUGCAGGUCAUGGCUACCGCUUCCCUCCCUCCCAGUGCUGAUUUCCUGUGGACCAGAUUCCAGCACAGUGGAGGGCCAGAGCUCAGGGAACAGACCCAGCAGCACAGCAAGUCUCCAAGGAAAGCUCUAGCAGUCUCCGAAC